CGCGCCUAACACAUGCAAGUCGAGCGUGAACGGCCUUCGGGCUUAGUAGAGCGGCGGACGAGUGAGUAACGCGUAAUUAAUCUGCCAUUCAGUGAAGGAUACCUGCGAGAAAUCGCAGUUAAUCCUGCAUACGUCCCCACAGCGAGAGCUGUAGGGAAAAAGGUGGCCUCUUGCUGCCGCUGAAUGAUGAGAUUGCGUGCUAUUAGCUAGUUGGUGGAGUAAAAGCCUACCAAGGCAAAGAUGGCUAGCCGGCCUGAGAGGGUGAUCGGCCACACUGGAACUGAGACACGGUCCAGACUCCUACGGGAGGCAGCAGUGGGGAAUAUUGCGCAAUGGGCGAAAGCCUGACGCAGCGACGCCGCGUGAAGGAUGAAGGCCUUCGGGUCGUAAACUUCUGUUAGGAGGAAAGAAACGCACAGAAUUAAUACCUCUGUGUAAUGACGGUACCUCCAGAGAAAGCACUGGCUAACUUCGUGCCAGCAGCCGCGGUAAUACGAAGGGUGCGAGCGUUAUUCGGAAUCAUUGGGCGUAAAGGGUGCGCAGGCGGCAUAGUAAGUCAGCUGUCUAAAUCUCCGGCCUAACCGGAGAACGGCGGCAGAUACUGCAAUGCUAGAGGAUGGAAGAGAGAGGUGGAAUUCUCGGAGUAGCGAUAAAAUGCGUAGAUCUCGAGAGGAACACCGAUGGCGAAGGCAGCCUCUUGGUCCAUUCCUGACGCUCAGGCACGAAAGCGUGGGGAGCAAACAGGAUUAGAUACCCUGGUAGUCCACGCUGUAAACGCUGAUUACUAGACGUUGGUUCCGCGAGGGAUCAGUGUCGUAGCUAACGCGAUAAGUAAUCCGCCUGGGGAGUACGGUCGCAAGAUUAAAGCUCAAAGAAAUUGACGGGGGUCCGCACAAGCGGUGGAACAUGUGGUUUAAUUCGAUGGUACGCGAGAAACCUUACCUGGGCUUGACAUGUAUUUGACAGCCAUAGAAAUAUGGUCUUCCAGGGCUUGCUUUGGACAGAUACACAGGUGCUGCAUGGCUGUCGUCAGCUCGUGUCGUGAGAUGUUGGGUUAAGUCCUUUAACGAGCGCAACUCUUGCUGUCAGUUGCUAUCUCUUCGGGGAGCACUCUGGCGGGACUGCCUGGGAAACCAGGAGGAAGGAGGGAACGACGUCAAGUCAUCAUGGUCCUUAUGCCCAGGGCUACACACAUGUUACAAUGGUCAGUACAAUGGGCUGCCAACUCGUAAGAGUGAGCUAAUCCCAAAAAGCUGAUCUAAGUUCGGAUUGAGGUCUGCAACUCGACCUCAUGAAGCUGAAAUCGCUAGUAAUCGCAUAUCAUCACGGUGCGGUGAUACGUUCUCGGACCUUGUACACACCGCCCGUCACACCACGAAAGCUGUCUGUACCCAAAGUCGUCUAAGCUAACCCGCAAGGGAGGCGGACGCCUAAGGUAUGGGGAGUGAUUGGGGUGAAGUC
rnacentral:rRNA from 1 species